rnacentral:rRNA from 1 species
UACGUAGGGUGCAAGCGUUGUCCGGAAUUAUUGGGCGUAAAGAGCUCGUAGGUGGCCUGUCGCGUCGGCUGUGAAAACUCGGGGCUCAACUCCGAGCUUGCAGUCGAUACGGGCAGGCUAGAGUUCGGCAGGGGAGACUGGAAUUCCUGGUGUAGCGGUGAAAUGCGCAGAUAUCAGGAGGAACACCGGUGGCGAAGGCGGGUCUCUGGGCCGAUACUGACACUGAGACACGAAAGCGUGGGUAGCAAACAGG